AGUAGUCUGGUCUGAAUAAUCAUUGUUAUUCCUGCGUCGACUGAUGUACGUAGUACUAUUAUUAUACAAGUGACCGUUUUAAUUUCAGUCGAGUUUAACAGUGUUUAACAUAGUGUUCACACAAACAUCUUGGAGAUUUUGCGAGUUCAUUGGUGACUCUGUGUCAGUGCCUACUCUGGAGAUGGUACACAUAGGUAAUGGGUCUCCAAAGCACCGAAUUGGAUCGCGUUAUCAGGAGAUGGGAUCUUUACUCCUCUUGCUGGGCGGUGCCCCCCAAGGGGUGGAGGGACUCCCUCGAACUUUUCUUAAUAAAUUUUUUCUUCAAAAUUUAAUUAAAGCAUUAUAGUUCAUAGCGCAAUUUAAAGCAGUUAAAGCAGCGAGUUCAUAGUUCAAUUAGUCCUUUUUUCAUUCUGAUAGCGCAUUAAUGGGUAAAUAAAGUUCUAGUGUAAUUAGUUUGUAAUCUUAAUACUUCAUAUACUUUAUAUAUACUUUAAACUUAAUUGACAAUUUAGCACAGUCGCUAUAGCGUAAGAAUAUAAAAUUUUCUAUGAGUUUUUAACUAAAAGUAUUUCAGUUCCAGGGAGUUGGUUAAAACUUAGACAUACUUUCUAUCUUAGGCUACAAAUUUUGAUACUUUAUUGUAACUGCGUCAGUUGUGUAAACUUUAAGAAUUCACAUUGUCCAUUAGUCUAUAUUAAGUUUUGAUAGAAAGUAAUAGCAAACAUUUUGCAGCCCUUGUUUUAUUUUAGGUAAAUCCACAGAAGCGGAUGUGGCUUGGAAGGCCAUUUUGAAAGGAAACCUCUUAGAUUAUUGGUUUCAACGGAGACUUCUCUUGGAGUAGUGGUUUCGCGUCUCGCGAACUUAAAUGCAUGAACAUAAUUGAAAGUGGCUUAUCUUAGUUGCGCUGUUAUUUACCGGGAUCUAACUUGAUUCACAACCGCAUUCGGCGUUUCCACGUCGCCUGCCCGAGUUUUUCGCACCGGAGUCUUCUUAAAUUUUCGAAUGGUUCUUAGAAGUUCUAACUGGUGCAACCAAUUGCCAAGAGUGAUACAUAUGCAAGCUUAGGAUGUUUUGCGUGUCCUGGACAGGAAGAAACUAGUAUUGACCCUACGGCCAUAAACAUAUGCAGUUGGGAUGGUGCUAGGCUUCUAAUGCUUCCAUGGGAUUCCCCUGUAGUAUCUCGGAUAAGAGUAAUAAUGAAGUGUGCUUUUAAAACCA